AUUUGAUGAUGAGGGCAUUAAAUGUACAAUAGCUCAAAUCUUUUCCAAUACUCAUUGAGUGUCUCUCCAUGAGAGUGCCGAAUCCCACAUAUUUCUUUCCUUAUGUU
rnacentral:sRNA from 1 species